CCAACAUCAGGUUUCUGGACGGUAGGAGCACAUCGCACAAAUACAUACAAUGGACCCAGGGGAAACCUCUAAUCUACAGCACAGAGCAGAAGUUAUUCUGUGCAAGGAAUCACCACGGAUAUUGAAAAGCAACUAUCCUACUGGUAAUAUACCCAGAAGCACAGUCAAUCAAGAUCUUGAAGCGUCCACAACUAAACCUGUCUCCUCACCAGAAUUAGAGGCAUUGAUACAGAUGAAGAAAAGGAACGAAAAUACUGAACUUCAUAACAACGGGGGUGACUGGAAGGCACGGGCAAGACAGCAGGAAACCUCUUCGUCCAAAAAUGCCUCCUGGGAAGGUUUUCGACAUCCAGGAAGAACCUGGCUAAACCUCUGCUUCAU